AUAGCUUGCUAUAAUUGUCAGCUAAGUGGCGCACGGGUGAGUAAUGUAUAGGUAAUAUGCCUCUUACUAAGGGAUAACAAAUGGAAACGUUUGUUAAUACCUUAUACUCCUUAUUAACAGAAGUUAAUAAGGGAAAGAUUUAUUGGUAAGAGAUUAGCCUGUAUUGUAUCAGUUAGUUGGUGGGGUAAUGGCUUACCAAGACUAUGACACAUAACUGGUUUGAGAGGAUGAUCAGUCACACUGGAACUGAGACACGGUCCAGACUCCUACGGGAGGCAGCAGUGGGGAAUAUUGCACAAUGGACGAAAGUCUGAUGCAGCAACGCCGCGUGGAGGAUGACACAUUUCGGUGCGUAAACUCCUUUUAUAUGAGAAGAUAAUGACGGUAUUAUAUGAAUAAGCACCGGCUAACUCCGUGCCAGCAGCCGCGGUAAUACGGGGGGUGCAAGCGUUACUCGGAAUCACUGGGCGUAAAGAGCAUGUAGGCGGAUUAAUAAGUUUGAAGUGAAAUCCUAUAGCUUAACUAUAGAACUGCUUUGAAAACUGUUAAUCUAGAAUGUGGGAGAGGUAGAUGGAAUUUCUGGUGUAGGGGUAAAAUCCGUAGAGAUCAGAAGGAAUACCGAUUGCGAAGGCGAUCUACUGGAACAUUAUUGACGCUGAGAUGCG
rnacentral:rRNA from 1 species